rnacentral:rRNA from 1 species
AGAGUUUGAUCAUGGCUCAGAUUGAACGCUAGCGGCAUGCUUAACACAUGCAAGUCGUGCGGCAGCGCGGGGAAACCUGGCGGCGAGCGGCGGACGGGUGAGUAAUACGUAGGAAUCUGCCUUAUAGUGGGGGACAACCCGGGGAAACUCGGGCUAAUACCGCAUAAUCUCUAAGGAGGAAAGUAGGGGACCUUCGGGCC